UAUGGUAAGUGCCAGCCGCCGCGGUAAUACGGAGGAUCCGAGCGUUAUCCGGAUUUAUUGGGUUUAAAGGGAGCGUAGAUGGAUGUUUAAGUCAGUUGUGAAAGUUUGCGGCUCAACCGUAAAAUUGCAGUUGAUACUGGAUGUCUUGAGUGCAGUUGAGGCAGGCGGAAUUCGUGGUGUAGCGGUGAAAUGCUUAGAUAUCACGAAGAACUCCGAUUGCGAAGGCAGCCUGCUAAGCUGCAACUGACAUUGAGGCUCGAAAGUGUGGGUAUCAAACAGG
rnacentral:rRNA from 1 species